UACGAAGGGGGCUAGCGUUGCUCGGAAUCACUGGGCGUAAAGGGCGCGUAGGCGGGCUCUUAAGUCAGGGGUGAAAGUCCAGGGCUCAACCCUGGAAGGCCGGUGGAAACUGUCGGGCUAGAGUCCGGAAGAGGCGAGUGGAAUUCCCGGUGUAGCGGUGAAAUGCGCAGAUAUCGGGAGGAACACCAAUGGCGAAGGCAGCUCGCUGGGACGGUACUGACGCUGAGACGCGAAAGCGUGGGGAGCAAACAGG
rnacentral:rRNA from 1 species